rnacentral:lncRNA from 1 species
GCUAGAUAAAAUCAAAAAGGAGCAGGUACCCACUCUGUGUACAACAAUCCAGAGCCAACGACAACUAAAGCAACUCUUUAGUCCUUGCCAGGUCCCCAUAAGAAGAGUUACGACACUUAGCCAAACGCCUGACGUCAGCUGGCAAUCAGCUGAAAUAAAUUUGUGGCUCUUUUCAAAUCCUUUGAACUGUGAAGACAAAGUAAUUUUUCCAAUAAAUCGACCUGAAAUUCCAAAAUUAGGAUAGAAAUACCUUCUUGUAGUUUUGUUAAAUCCUCGAGCAAAUCUGAAAACAAAGAUGCAGUCUUUAUUUUCCUUUCCAAUGGAUAAGAGUAUAUUAAUGAAAUGGAUACUACGAAUGAAGAGGGUCAAUUGGAAGCCUUUUACUCAUUCUCGGUUGUGCUGAAAGCACUUCGAAAGAAACCAAUUCCAAAGAUUAGACCACUCCAAACGGAUAAGAAAGCCUUGUUUUGGGGCUAUUCCAACCCUAUUCAGCCACGUGAAGCCUAUUGUGCAAAGAGAAACACGGAAUUCUAGAAAAUCAAAUGAGGAAGGAGAAGAGCUAGGCAACAUGAAAUUAUGUUCCCAUGAUCAUACUUAGGGUGCUGAUCCUCAUUUGGAAGACUCUGCAGCAGAUAAUAACAAAGGCUUCUCUCCCUAGAAAAUUUAUAAACUACUGAGGAGGAACAUUUUGAUCUUGAACAACAUCAAAGUAGGAUUAUUAUUUGCCCAAGUAAGAUAUAAAAAUCCAACACCUUCUCCUAUGGAACUGAAGAAUGCCUUGAAAAUAGUUAUUGUAACACAAUUUCUAUAUAAAAAACACGGGAUAAGUUAUGAGGUGGGUAAUUUUCCGUUUUUAGUAUUGCUAGAGGGAUCGAAAAGGAUCAAAGAAUUUCAUCAUGAAGAAAAGAUUGCGGAUCUUGAAUUCAUUUUUGUUAACUCUCUUGACUGAGAUGAAAUGAAUUCCUUCGCUUAUUUGGUUGGCUAUUGUUUACGUAAAACAUUUCAGUCAUUCUCAUUGUAAUGAAUGCAAGUCAUUUUAUAUUGAUGAAGAAAAGUCGACAAGUGAUUGGACCAGCCUGAUAUCCUUACGAAAUUAUACGUCUUCAAAUGGAUUAGUUUUCGCCUCUAAAAAAAUUUUGGAGCAAUUUUUGAACGUGGAAAUCAUUUUUAGAUAAAUGAUCAAAGAUUUAAAAAAGAUGACAAAAGUUGAAAAAUCUAUUACCGAAAUGGCUAUUGGAAUGAUAAAAUCGUCUACAGAAAUGCCUAAAUCCCAUGACAUAGUUAAUUUUCUUAUUAGUCGUUAUAUUCGUAUUCGGCUGCACAUAUAUUUACGAGAACAAACCAAAAUUAUAAAAGAGAGUAAAAAAGUUACAUAUAGUUUCAGUAGUCGUAGGAUGUUAAUGAGAGAAACAUCAAAUUAAAUAUUUUUCUAAAAAACA